GUUGAUGAAAUAUAUAUUUUUUAAAGGAAACUGGGCUUUGAUUAAAAACGAAACUAGUACAGAAAACAGUCCAAAAACAAAGAAAAAAAAACCCUAAAAACCCAAACAAAAGUCCAGAUUAAACAGCCCCAAACAAAAGGCAAAAACAGCAAUGCCAAAUCCUAAUUUUGAGUUGUCAUCUAAACCUUCUAGAAAGAAAAAAAAAAGCUGAAGGGACGCCACUGAUGUCGACAGAUCAGAACAUCUUCUCCGGUAACCGUUAAGAGAUCGUCGAACCACUAGCUACCACAUCCAAGAGGCUUGAUUAACGAACGAGAACCUGUACCCCAACAGAGACGAUCAAACUCUUCCCCAACCCCGCGGAUUCCACAAACUCUUGAGCUCCUCCCACCUCCAAUCCCCACCCCCGAAUCAGAUCCUUGUAAAAAGAUACUUCAUCUCCCACACUCAUCCGAUCGGAAGGCACAACUAUCAUUAUCCACUAUUGUCGAAGCAAAGAGAGGCACCCCUCCCGCCUAUUAAGCAUGAUCCCCUCCCGGGAGACUCGCAGCUACCAACAGAUGGGCCACCUGAUUUGUAGCUCGGGGAACAUGCACGAAUCAACACCAACGAAACUACACAGCCAUUGCAUUGAUACCUUUGAUGUAAGGCCCAAGGGCCGACAUAUCAUGAUAAGGAGAUAGGAUCUUGCGGAUCGCCAUGAGAGAAUCACCUUCAAAAAUAGCCUCAUGCAACCCCAGCCCCAGAACCAGUCAAAUCGCAUGAUAGCAAGCCAGGGCCUCUGCAGCAAAAGACGAAGGUACAUGACCACUGAUUGUGGACCCAUCACCAUGCCCAAAUGAUCCCUAAUGACAAUACUCGCACAGGAAGUCUUUGCAGACGCAUGGAAAACAACAUCAAAGUUCACUUUUACACAUGUUAGAUUCGGAGGCCGCCACCGCUCAACACCGAUCAGUCAACCAGGGACUCCCAAAUAUCCAAAAUCGAAGGGCAAUUGCGAAAAAUAUGUUCCAGAGUCUCGGCAGAGACACAAGGGCACAUAGUGGAUGCCCCCAAUCUUCUGUUAUAUAGGUUAUAGUAGUUAGGAAUAAAAUUGUUGAAAAUUCGCCAUACUAUAGUUUUGAUUUUUGUCGGAAGUUACAACUACCAUAAUUUGUUGUAAAAUAGUUUAUAAGAGUCUGUAGUCUCAAAAUAGUUCGAAGAAUAAGGAGUCUAUAACCACUACAGACAUAGAAUUCUCCCGAAAGCUCAUCCCCCCAACUAAGAAGUCUUCAUGGGCAUCCUGAGCAAGGGGAAUACAUAACACCCUAUUUGCAAUGGCUCAGCCCAGGACACUGGCAAGCCCGAAAUCCAAACAUCAUCCAAGAUCCAUAUAUUGGAUCCUGUUCCCGCGCGCCAACAAAGGCCCAUAUGCAACAACCCCUUCGUAGACCAGAUACUCUUCCAUAGGUAAGAAGGGUAAGCUCUCAAACUAGCAUGCAUAAAAUCACGUGGGUAAUAUUUUGCUUUUAUGGCACAAGCUAACAAAGAAAAUAGGUUUUUAAUCAAACACAAACCUUGUUUUUCCAA